rnacentral:rRNA from 1 species
AUGAGCAGGGCGUGCACAUGCCUCGGAAGGCCAGCAACAACCCAGUCAAAACGCGAUAAUGAUCCUUCCGUAGGGUGAACCUGCGGAAGGAUCAUUAUCGAGUUUUGACUGGGUUGUAGCUGGCCUUCCGAGGCAUGUGCACGCCCUGCUCAUCCACUCUACACCUGUGCACCUUACUGUGGGUUUCAGACGGCGUAGCGAGCCUUUACGGGUUCGUGAAAGCGUCUGUGCCCGCGUUUAUUACAAACUCUUACAAGUAAAAGAAUGUGUAUUGCGAUAUAACGCAUCUAUAUACAACUUUCAGCAACGGAUCUCUUGGCUCUCGCAUCGAUGAAGAACGCAGCGAAAUGCGAUAAGUAAUGUGAAUUGCAGAAUUCAGUGAAUCAUCGAAUCUUUGAACGCACCUUGCGCUCCUUGGUAUUCCGAGGAGCAUGCCUGUUUGAGUGUCAUGAAAUCUUCAACCUAUAAACCUUUGCGGGUUUGUAGGCUUGGACUUGGAGGCUUGUCGGCCUAACGGUCGGCUCCUCUUAAAUGCAUUAGCUUGAUUCCUUGCGGAUCGGCUCUCGGUGUGAUAAUUGUCUACGCCGCGACCGUGAAGCGUUUGGCGAGCUUCUAAUCGUCUCUUGUGAGACAACACAUUGACCUCUGACCUCAAAUCAGGUAUGACUUUCCGCUGAACUUUAAGCAUAUCAAUAAGCGGAGGAAAAA